rnacentral:rRNA from 1 species
GACGGAGGGGGCAAGCGUUGUUCGGAAUUACUGGGCGUAAAGCGUGCGCAGGCGGUUCGCUAAGACCGAUGUGAAAUCCCCGGGCUUAACCUGGGAACUGCAUUGGUGACUGGCGGGCUAGAGUAUGGCAGGGGGGGGUAGAAUUCCACGUGUAGCAGUGAAAUGCGUAGAGAUGUGGAGGAAUACCGAUGGCGAAGGCAGCCCCCUGGGCCAAUACUGACGCUCAUGCACGAAAGCGUGGGGAGCAAACAGG